rnacentral:rRNA from 1 species
GACGAACGCUGGCGGCAUGCCUAACACAUGCAAGUCGAACGAGACGUUCCGGUCUUGUGGCGCUCGGGGACGUGCCGACUGGUGACCAACCCUUGGGUUCGGUAUACCUCCCCGAGGGGGGUGCUCAUACCAGUGAAGGUCAUCGGGCCAAAGAUCUCUGGCCAUUGGAUGGGCGCGCGUUGGAUUAGCUAGUUGGUAGGGUACAAGCCUCGCAAGGCGACGAUCCUUAGCUGGUCGGAUAGGAUGCUCAGCCACACUGGGACUGAGACACGGCCCAGACUGCUACGGGAGGGAGCAGUGUGGAACAUAGUACAAGGAGCGAAAGUCUGAUCCAGCAAUGCCGCGUGAGAGAUGAAGGCCUUAGUGUUGUAAAGCUGUUUUACCCGGGAUGAUAAUGACAGUACCGGGUGAAUAAGCUCCGGCUAACUACGUG